rnacentral:sRNA from 1 species
GUUUGGGUGAGUGAUGGCAGUGGAGCUCUUUUUUUAUUAAUUACCACGGGUCAUAACCCGUGGCAAUUGAUAAAAAAAAGCGGGAACGUACAGCACGACCCGUA